GGAAGUAAAAGCGUAACAAGGUUUCCGUAGGUGAACCUGCGGAAGGAUCAUUAAAGAGUAAGGGUCUUCGGGCCCGAUCUCCAACCCUUUGUUUAACUACCAUGUUGCUUUGGCGGGCCCGUCUCACGACCGCCGGAAGUUUGGCUUCGACCAAACUUCUGGCCCGUGCCCGUCAGUGGCCCCUUCAAAUUCUUGAUCAAGUAUGAUGUCUUAGUUAAAAACUUAAUAGUUAAAACUUUCAACAACGGAUCUCUUGGUUCUG
rnacentral:misc_RNA from 1 species